UCUACAUUUAGCAGACAUAUUUAUUGUUAAAUAUUUAAUGCAGAUAUGCAGCAGGGUGGGUCCGUCUGAUAAAGUGCCAAAUACAGAUUUACAAAACAACAGAGGUGGUGGAAGACCCCGUCGGCGUCCCAAAUUACACCCUACUCUCUGUAGUGCACUACAUUAGACCAGAAUGGCACCCUAUUCCCUCUGUAGUGCACUACUGUUGACCAGAGGGUUCCCUAUUCCCUCUGUAGUGCACUACUGUUGACCAGAAUGGCACCCUAUUCCCUCUGUAGUGCACUACUGUUGACCAGAGGGUUCGCUAUUCCCUCUGUAGUGCACUACUGUUGACCAGAAUAGCUCCAUAUUCCCUCUGUAGUGCACUACAUUAGACCAGAAUGGCACCCUAUUCCCUCUGUAGUGCACUACUGUUGACCAGAGGGUUCCCUAUUCCCUCUGUAGUGCACUACUGUUGACCAGAAUGGCUCCCUAUUCCCUCUGUAGUGCACUACAUUAGACCAGAAUGGCACCCUAUUCCCUCUGUAGUGCACUACUGUUGACCAGAAUGGCACCCUAUUCCCUCAGUAGUGCACUACAUUAGACCAGAAUGUCUCCCUAUUCCCUCUGUAGUGCACUACUGUUGACCGUAUAUAGGAAAUCGGAUGCCAUUUGGGAUGCAAUCGACUCUCUCCCCCCCAACCCCAACCCUGGUCCCACAGUGCAUUGCUUUAGAGGAAAGUGGCCAACGUUAAACUGAUCUUUGUGUCUAGGGACAACUUCCAACUUGAGCCCAGGAUAAAGGAUGAGCUAUGACCUCAGGGUAAAGGAUGAGCUAUGACCUCAGGGUAAAGGAUGAGCUAUGACCUAAGGGUAAAGGAUGAGCUAUGACCUCAGGGUAAAGGAUGAGCUAUGACCUCAGGGUAAAGGAUGAGCUAUGACCUCAUGGUAAAGGAUGAGCUAUGACCUCAGGGUAAAGGAUGAGCUAUGAUCUCAGGGUAAAGGAUGAGCUAUGACCUCAGGAUAAAGGUUGAGCUAUGACCUCAGGGUAAAGGAUGAGCUAUGACCUCAGGGUAAAGGAUGAGCUAUGACCUCAUGGUAAAGGAUGAGCUAUGACCUCAGGGUAAAGGAUGAGCUAUGACCUCAGGGUAAAGGAUGAGCUAUGACCUUAGGGUAAAGGAUGAACUAUGACCUCAGGGUAAAUGAUGGACCAUGACCUCAGGGUAAAGGAUGAACUAUGACCUCAGGGUAAAGGAUGAACCAUGACCUCAGGGUAAAGGAUGAACUAUGACCUCAGGGUACAGAAUGAACUAUGACCUCAGGGUAAAGGAUGAACUAUGACCUCAGGGUACAGAAUGAACUAUGACCUCAGGGUAAAGGAUGAACUAUGACCUCAGGGUAAAGGAUAAACCAUGACCUCAGGGUAAAGGAUGAACUAUGACCUCAGGGUAAAGGAUGAACUAUGACCUCAGGGUAAAGGAUGAGCUAUGACCUCAGGGUAAAGGAUAAACCAUGACCUCAGGGUAAAGGAUGAACCAUGACCUCAGGGUAAAGGAUGAACUAUGACCUCAGGGUAAAGGAUGAACCAUGACCUCAGGGUAAAGGAUGAACUAUGACCUCAGGGUAAAGGAUGAACUAUGACCUCAGGGUAAAGGAUGAACCAUGACCUCAGGGUAAAGG
ensembl:lncRNA